rnacentral:misc_RNA from 1 species
GAUGAAGAACGCAGCGAAAUGCGAUACGUAAUGUGAAUUGCAGAAUUCAGUGAAUCAUCGAAUCUUUGAACGCAUAUUGCGCUCUCUGGUAUUCCGGAGAGCAUGCUUGUUUGAGUAUCAGUAAACACCUCAACUCCCUUUUCUUUUCUGAAAUUGGAGCUGGACUUGAGUGAUCCCAACGCUUUCUUCCAAGAAAGUGGCGGGUUGCUUGAAAUGCAGGUGCAGCUGAACUUUUCUCUGAGCUAUAAGCAUAUCUAUUUAGUCUGCCUAAAAAACAGAUUAUUACCUUUGCUGCAGCUAACAUAAAGGAGACUAGUUCUUGUGCUGACUGAUGCAGGAUUCACAGAGACAGCUUCGGCUGACUUUGUAAACUCGAUCUCAAAUCAAGUAAGACUACCCGCUGAACUUAAGCAUAUCAAUAAGCGGAGGA